CUGGCCACCGGUGUAGCACACCCACAACAUUGUCCGAUCCUAGAGUGAGCAGACCACAGGCUCAAACUGCAACUUGUGCCAUGUAAGUCAUUUUCAGCCCGUUACACAGUCCAUCACUUGUAAUACCAUGUCAUUCAUUUGUGCCCGACAUUAGUACUAAAAAUCUUAUAUGUGAAAUGAAAAUGCAAGCCUUAGUCACUUCAUCAUGUCGAACUCUGUGCUACCCAGUGGAUUGUAGCCUGCCAGGCUCCUCUGUCCAAGGGAUUCUCUAGGCAAGAAUACUCAACUAGCCAUUUCCUUCUCCAGGGGAUCUUCCCAACCCAAGGAUAGACCCUAGUCUGCUGCACUACAGGAAAUUGAAGCAGUGAAAAAUUAAGCAACUAUUCCCAAGUUACGCAGCUUCAAAUGGAGCCACUAGAAGACCCCAUUGUCUGUCAGAUUCCAGAGCUUGUGCCGUGUAAGCACUCACAUGGAGUUUGUUGAAUAAAGAGAGUACAUCAUGAGAAACGCUGGACUGGAAGAAACACAAGCUGGAAUCAAGAUUGCCGGGAGAAAUAUCAAUAACCUCAGAUAUGCAGAUGACACCACCCUUAUGGCAGAGAGUGAA
ensembl:lncRNA